UACGGAGGGUGCAAGCGUUAUCCGGAUUCACUGGGUUUAAAGGGCGCGUAGGUGGGCUGGUAAGUCAGUGGUGAAAUCUCCGGGCUUAACCCGGAAACUGCCGUUGAUACUAUCAGUCUUGAAUAUUGUGGAGGUAAGCGGAAUAUGUCAUGUAGCGGUGAAAUGCUUAGAUAUGACAUAGAACACCGAUAGCGAAGGCAGCUUGCUACACAAUGAUUGACACUGAGGCUCGAAAGCGUGGGGAUCAAACAGG
rnacentral:rRNA from 1 species